GAUGAACGCUGGCGGCGUGCCUAAUACAUGCAAGUCGAGCGAAGCGGGGACGGGUGAGUAACACGUGGAUAACCUCCUAUAAGACUGGGAUAACUUCGGGAAACCGGAGCUAAACCGGCUACUUAUAGAUGGAUCCGCGCUGCAUUAGCGAGUUGGUAGGGUAACGGCUGACAAAGGCAACGAUGCAUAGCCGACUAGAGCGGGAGAGGGGGCAGACUGGAGCGGAGACACGGUCCAAUCGCCACCGGGAGGCAGCAGGAGGGAAUCUUGCGCAAUGGGCGAAAGCCUGACGGAGAAACGGCGCGUGAGUGAUGAAGGUAUUCGGAUCGUAAAACUCUGUUAUUAGGGAAGCGGUACCUAAACAGAAAGCCACGGCUAACUACGUGCCAGCAGCCGCGGUAAUUC
rnacentral:rRNA from 1 species